UUGCUAUCUGCGAUAUGGAAGAUUCGGACCUGCCGCAGGUUCGGGUCUCAUGCAGUGAGACAACGGAGCCGUUUACGGCGACGGCCCGAAGGGCGAGCGAAGCCGAGUCAUCCUGCACGACCCACCA
rnacentral:sRNA from 1 species